rnacentral:rRNA from 1 species
UACAUGCAAGUAGAACGCUGAAGAGAGGAGCUUGCUCUUCUUGGAUGAGUUGCGAACGGGUGAGUAACGCGUAGGUAACCUGCCUUGUAGCGGGGGAUAACUAUUGGAAACGAUAGCUAAUACCGCAUAACAAUGGAUGACCCAUGUCAUUUAUUUGAAAGGGGCAAAUGCUCCACUACAAGAUGGACCUGCGUUGUAUUAGCUAGUAGGUGAGGUAACGGCUCACCUAGGCGACGAUACAUAGCCGACCUGAGAGGGUGAUCGGCCACACUGGGACUGAGACACGGCCCAGACUCCUACGGGAGGCAGCAGUAGGGAAUCUUCGGCAAUGGGGGCAACCCUGACCGAGCAACGCCGCGUGAGUGAAGAAGGUUUUCGGAUCGUAAAGCUCUGUUGUAAGUCAAGAACGAGUGUGAGAGUGGAAAGUUCACACUGUGACGGUAGCUUACCAGAAAGGGACGGCUAACUACGUGCCAGCAGCCGCGGUAAUACGUAGGUCCCGAGCGUUGUCCGGAUUUAUUGGGCGUAAAGCGAGCGCAGGCGGUUUGAUAAGUCUGAAGUUAAAGGCUGUGGCUCAACCAUAGUUCGCUUUGGAAACUGUCAAACUUGAGUGCAGAAGGGGAGAGUGGAAUUCCAUGUGUAGCGGUGAAAUGCGUAGAUAUAUGGAGGAAC